rnacentral:rRNA from 1 species
UACAGAGGUCUCAAGCGUUGUUCGGAUUCAUUGGGCGUAAAGGGCGCGUAGGCUGCGGGGCAAGUCGGGUGUGAAAUCUCAGAGCUCAACUCUGAAACUGCACUCGAUACUGCUUUGCUCGAGGACUGGAGAGGAGAUUGGAAUUCACGGUGUAGCAGUGAAAUGCGUAGAUAUCGUGAGGAAGACCAGUGGCGAAGGCGGCUCACUGGCCCGAUACUGACGCUGAGGCACGAAAGCGUGGGGAGCAAACAGG